rnacentral:rRNA from 1 species
AUGGGAACGCGAAGAACCUUACCUGGCCUUGACAUGUCUGGAAUCCUGCAGAGAUGCGGGAGUGCCUUCGGGAAUCAGAACACAGGUGCUGCAUGGCUGUCGUCAGCUCGUGUUGUGAAAUGUUGGGUUAAGUCCCGCAACGAGCGCAACCCUUAUCCUUUGUUGCCAGCGGUUAGGCCGGGAACUCAAAGGAGACUGCCAGUGAUAAACUGGAGGAAGGUGGGGAUGACGUCAAGUCAUCAUGGCCCUUACGAGUAGGGCUACACACGUGCUACAAUGGCGUAUACAGAGGGAAGCGACCUCGCGAGAGCAAGCGGAACCCAAAAGUACGUCGUAGUCCGGAUCGGAGUCUGCAACUCGACUCCAUGAAGUCGGAAUCGCUAGUAAUCGUAGAUCAGAAUGCUACGGUGAAUACGUUCCCGGGUCUUGUACACACCG